rfam:Firmicutes bacterium CAG:313 genomic scaffold, scf20
GUAUAAUAUUAUUGUAAAAGUCGUAUAAUUCCGAUAAUAUGGUUUGGAAGUUUCUACAUUAUCACCGUAAAUGAUAAUACUAUGGUAGCAAUUGAAUAUUCA